rnacentral:lncRNA from 1 species
GGAAGUGUGCACUGACAACAGAGUAGGGGGCAGACAGCAUACAAAAUUAUCCCUGCUUCAGGGACAGUUCAGGAAGAAAGUGAUACUGUGCCUGCCUGGGCCUCACAUGCCCUGAGCUCAGGGACACGGGAAAGAGAUACCAGGUGUCAAAUCAGAGGCAGGGGAGGCAGGCAGGGAGGAAGGAGCCAGGACAGGGGACAAACCACUAGCUGCUGCCAGGGCCAGCUUCCAGACACAGCUCAGGGAGGCUGUGAAUAGGCCCUUUAUCUAAGCUGAAGUGGGGGAAAGGAAUCACAGAAGGGGGUCUCAGGUGAUAAGGAGCCUCAGAACAAGCUCAGGGGAUCUUGUCCCUUCCUUCUCAGCAGAAAUCCUAGCAGGGGAGAAGCUUCUUUUUAAGGAUUUUGUUUUCCAGCCAUUUGCCCAGGAUCUUCAUUUGGGAGGCCCCUCCUCAAUCCCACAGGCCUUACUGGGUCACCUAGAGAGGUCCUAAGAGGUGCGGUGUUGCACAGUGGUUAAGGACAUGGGCUUUUGGCAGUCAAGUCUUAGCUCUUCCAGUGACUGGCUGGAUACCCCAGGCAAGUCAUUUCACCUAACUCUCAACUCCCUACGUCAAACAAGGAUAAUAACAAGUAGUCAACCCCAGAGAUAAAGCCGGGAGGCCCAUAGAACAUUGCCUGGCAAUGGUAAAAGCACUCAAUAACUGUUAGAUAUUGUUAUUUUUAUUAAGAAUAAAGGAGCCGGGCAUGGUGGCUCAUGCCUGUAAUCCCAGCACUUUGGGAGGCCGAGGUGGGCAGAUCGCCUGAGGUCAAGAGUUCGAGACCAGCCUGACCAACAUGGAGAAACCCUGUCUCUACUAAAAAUACAAAAUUAGCCAGGUAUGGUGGCACAUGCCUGUAAUCCCAGCUAUUUAGGAGGCUGAGGCAGGAGAAUCGCUUGAACCCAGGAGGCAGCGAUUGCCGUGAGCCGAGAUUGCGCCAUUGUACUCCAGCCUGGGCAACAAGAGCGAAACUCCAUCUCAUAAAUAAAUAAAUAAAUAAAUAAAUAAAUAAAGGCUUGGAGAGCCAUUUUUUUCUCUCUCUCUCUGAAGCUGGGGCCCAAUUGUCCUUCUUCCUUCAAUAUCUAAUGACUGUUUCCCAGCUAUCAGAAAGGAAUCCAACUUCCCCUCCCCCAGAGCUGUGAAACUGAGUAGCAAAGCUUGCUCAAGCUCCUGAGUCAUUCAGCAAAACCAGCCCAAGAUAAUCAGUGGAUCAAGGAAACUAGAUGCAGAGUGGGGAAAACCCAGCCGCAAAGCUGGGGCCUUCUCGCAGGGCAGUUCCCUCUGCUGGCCCCUCUGGUGAGCUUUCACUUCAGGUUCACAAACAAGACAGCAUCUUCCCAGGCCCUCCUGAACCCAGAAUAAGGCCUUAGCUACUCCUGGGUCUCUCAACAGCAGCCAGGCCUUUCUCUGGAAUCUUGUUUGACACAAACUUUUUGCCUUUGGACAAACUCUCUCCUUCCCUCCGUAUCCCAGGCCUCAGGAGAGUCGAAACCCUGACUCCCAUUCUCACUGUCCACUCAUUUCUCAGUCCCUGUCAUUUGACUUCUGCCCAGCCACUGAACUGUCUGUCAUCACACUCAGUGAUGAUCUUUUCAUCACCAAAUCCAAAGACUUUUUCCAGGCCUUUCCUACUUGCCUCUUCUAAACAGUCAGCGCUGUCGACCACUUUCUUUCUUUCUUUUUUUUUUUUUCUGAGACGGAGUUUCACUCUUGUUGUCCAGGCUGGAGUGUACUGGCGUGAUCUCGGCUCACUGCAACAUCCGCCUCCCGGGUUCAAGCGAUUCUCCUCUCUCAGCCUCCUGAGUAGCUGAGACUACAGGAGCGCGCCACCACGCCCAACCAGUUUUUAGAUUUAGCUAGAGUAAAUCUUUAAAUCUUUAGUAGAGACAGGGUUUCACCAUAGUAGAAACAGGGUUUCACCAUGUUGGCCAGGAUAGUCUCGAUCUCCUGCCCACCUUGGCCUCCCAAAGUGCUGGGAUUACAGGUGUGAGCCACCGCGCCCCAGCCGGUACAUUUCUUUUAAUUCGGUUAAUGAUUAUAGAUGCCUGUUGUGUAUCAAGCAUUGUACUGUACUAAGAAUUACAGACACUCAGCAAUGGAAGGAGUCCAGAGAUUGUUAACAACAGGCAAAGGAGGAGUGCUGUGUUUAGAAGUGUAGAACCAAGUAUAGUGGGAGUCUAGAGGAGGGUAUGAAAUGAACCCUGACCUUUUAGAGCAGUUCUGAGAAUCUUGCUCUCCUAGAAAUACUCGCUCUGGAUACUUAGAAAAUCUUGACCAUUGUCUUGUUCCUUAUGCAGGCCAUAUCAAACGUUCAGUUGGCCGGGCGCGGUGGCUCACGCUUGUAAUCCCAACACUUUGGGAGGCCGAGGCAGGUGGAUCACAAGGUCAGGAGAUCGAGACCAUCCUAGCUAACACGGUGAAACCCCGUCUCUACUAAAAAUACAAAAAUUAGCCAGGUGUGGUGG